rnacentral:tRNA from 1 species
UCCCUGGUGGCUUAGAGGGUAAAGCGUCUGCCUACAAUGCGGGAGACCCGGGUUCAGUUCCUGGGUUGGGAA